rnacentral:rRNA from 1 species
GACGAACGCUAGCGGCGUGCCUAAUACAUGCAAGUCGAACGAAGCUGUUUUAACUGGCGCUUGCACCGACUUAAACAACUGAGUGGCGAACGGGUGAGUAACACGUGGGUAACCUGCCCCAAAGCGGGGGAUAACAUUUGGAAACAGAUGCUAAUACCGCAUAACCACAGAAACCACAUGGUUUCUGUGUCAAAGAUGGUUUCGGCUAUCACUUUGGGAUGGACCCGCGGCGUAUUAGCUAGUUGGUAAGGUAAUGGCUUACCAAGGCAAUGAUACGUAGCCGAACUGAGAGGUUGAUCGGCCACAUUGGGACUGAGACACGGCCCAAACUCCUACGGGAGGCAGCAGUAGGGAAUCUUCCACAAUGGACGAAAGUCUGAUGGAGCAACGCCGCGUGAGUGAAGAAGGUUUUCGGAUCGUAAAACUCUGUUGUCAGAGAAGAACGUGUGCGAGAGUAACUGUUCGUGCAGUGACGGUAUCUGGCCAGAAAGCCACGGCUAACUACGUGCCAGCAGCCGCGGUAA